AAGGUUCGGUCCCCAGGGCCAUGAUUCUCAAGCCACUCAGCAGCAAUGAUGUCGUUUCCGAUGGCAUCCUUGGCUACGGUACCACCACCGGUGCCUCCUCCCCUGUCAUCACAUUUUAAUAAAACAAAAGGUCAGUUUUAAUUUAACUAUC